GACGAACGCUGGCGGCGUGCCUAAUACAUGCAAGUUGAGCGCUGAAGGUUGGUACUUGUACCAACUGGAUGAGCAGCGAACGGGUGAGUAACGCGUGGGGAAUCUGCCUUUGAGCGGGGGACAACAUUUGGAAACGAAUGCUAAUACCGCAUAAAAACUUUAAACACAAGUUUUAAGUUUGAAAGAUGCAAUUGCAUCACUCAAAGAUGAUCCCGCGUUGUAUUAGCUAGUUGGUGAGGUAAAGGCUCACCAAGGCGAUGAUACAUAGCCGACCUGAGAGGGUGAUCUGCCACAUUGGGACUGAGACACGGCCCAAACUCCUUCGGGAGGCAGCAGUAGGGAAUCUUCGGCAAUGGACGAAAGUCUGACUGAGCAACGCCGCGUGAGUGAAGAAGGUUUUCGGAUCGUAAAACUCUGUUGGCAGAGAAGAACGUUGGUGAGAGUGGAACGCUCAUCAAGUGACGGUAACUACCCAGAAAGGGACGGCUAACUACGUG
rnacentral:rRNA from 1 species